rnacentral:rRNA from 1 species
GAUGAACGCUGGCGGCGUGCCUAAUACAUGCAAGUCGAGCGAACAGACGAGGAGCUUGCUCCCCUGACGUUAGCGGCGGACGGGUGAGUAACAUGUGGAUAACCUACCUAUAAGACUGGGAUAACUUCGGGAAACCGGAGCUAAUACCGGAUAAUAUAUUGAACCGCAUGGUUCAAUAGUGAAAGACGGUUUUGCCGUCACUUAUAGAUGGAUCCGCGCCGCAUUAGCUAGUUGGUAAGGUAACGGCUUACCAAGGCAACGAUGCGUAGCCGACCUGAGAGGAUGAUCAGCCACACUGGAACUGAGACACGGUCCAGACUCCUACGGGAGGCAGCAGUAGGGAAUCUUCCGCAAUGGGCGAAAGCCUGACGGAGCAAUGCCGCGUGAGUGAUGAAGGUCUUCGGAUCGUAAAGCUCUGUUAUUAGGGAAGAACAGAUGUGUAAGUAACUAUGCACGUCUUGACGGUACCUAAUCAGAAAGCCACGGCUAACUACGUG